rnacentral:rRNA from 1 species
AUCUAAAAUAGGACUCAUUCACUUAGUUCAUUAACUAUAAAUGCUUGGAACUACUAAAUCCUCUCCGUUGAGUCUUCCAAACCAGCCACAGCUCUGUGCAACAGUGGCGAAACCGACUAAAUACGUGCCUCUUUCGUAUGCCUCCUUGAAACAGGUCACGUUGCGAGAGACUGCGGAAGGCUAGGACGGGAUUAACGUAGGUAGUGUGAAAACAAUACCACAAACACUACGAGAGUCUGCGGUAGGUAGUACGGCAAUAACGUAGGUAGGGUGAAACAAUACAACAAGUCGGAGUGUACCUCGUUCUACCUAUCUAACACGGGCUAGGCACAGGAACAUCAGGUACGAUUUUGUUUUUUUUCUAAACCGAAGGACCCGCAACGACCUGCACCGGUUGACCCACAGAAAUAAACGAUCACAAUCGGCUAACUCAGGCACACAUUUAAACGCACGUGCGCAAGGCUAAACAUUAUUAACACACGUCAUCUUAGGUAUAGCACAUGAGAGAAAUAAACCACAUGAGAGAAAUAAACCGUCCAUAAGCACCAACAGAGCCUGUGUAUUAACUUUUCCGUACAAAUCCUCCGAACAGUCGGUACGCACCGUUUGUUUAAUAAACAUGGAUCGUUAUCAACAUACAUUGAAACUUUAGGAAAUUUAGAGUC